UACGUAGGACCCAAGCGUUAUCCGGAGUGACUGGGCGUAAAGAGUUGCGUAGGCGGCUUAGUAAGUGGAUAGUGAAACCUGGUGGCUCAACCAUUCAGACUAUUAUCCAAACUGCUAAGCUCGAGAAUGGUAGAGGUGGCUGGAAUUUCUAGUGUAGGAGUGAAAUCCGUAGAUAUUAGAAGGAACACCGAUGGCGUAGGCAGGCCACUGGACCAUUUCUGACGCUAAGGCACGAAAGCGUGGGGAGCGAACCGG
rnacentral:ncRNA from 2 species